UACGGGGGGGGCAAGCGUUGUUCGGAAUUACUGGGCGUAAAGGGCUCGUAGGCGGCCAACUAAGUCAGACGUGAAAUCCCUCGGCUUAACCGGGGAACUGCAUCUGAUACUGGAUGGCUUGAGUUUGGGAGAGGGAUGCGGAAUUCCAGGUGUAGCGGUGAAAUGCGUAGAUAUCUGGAGGAACACCGGUGGCGAAGGCGGCAUCCUGGACCGGUAUUGACGCUGAGGCGCGAAAGCCAGGGGAGCAAACGGG
rnacentral:rRNA from 1 species